rnacentral:lncRNA from 10 species
CCCAAAUCAAUUUUAUUGAACACGUCAUGGUCCUUCCCCAAUUGUGAUAGGGAAGCGGGGGCAUCCCCUCAACUAUUCACAUGUAAAACGCAGCUCUGAGCUCCAGGAAGGUGAUGGAUUUUAAACCUAUAAUGCAUCCAUCAGCAUUGUUAACGAGCACCCAGAUGAUGGUCAGGUUGCCCACACGUGCACUGUGCUGUGAGUACUGAUGGGAUGGGCUUCCCCAGUCAUGUCGAGACUCAACCCCUGAGUCUCAGAGGGGAUGGAGGAGAGUGCAGAGGUUUGCUGCCAUGACACACUUCAUGAAGAAUGUAUUUUCCAACUGUCACUAUUUCAGGCCAAUGAUCGUACACCCAAGAGAGCUUGUGGAAAGCUACUAAACCGAUCAUCACUCAGUCAUUGUCUAACAGUCUGUUAAGACUCACCAUGUGCCAGAACAUAUUAAAGUGCCUUCAUGGGCAGUGCAGACAGGGAGAGGCACUGGGAAGUCUUCCUGUCACAGAGGGAUAUGGGGUUCUGUUCAAAGUAGGAACAAACUUUAUUUCCUCGAUGUUAUCAAGAGCCUCACCACUGACGGUUCAGUUCUGGAAGCUAGAAGUCUUCAGAAGCCACGCUCCGUCUGAAGGCUCUAAGGGAGAAUUCUUCCUUGACUCCUACACCUUCUAGUAGCUCCUGGAAUUCCUUGGUUUAUGGCAGCAUCACUCCAGUCUCUUCCUCUGUUUUCACAUGGCUUCCUUCUCUGUUUCUGUGUCUCAAAUCUUCCUCUCCUCAUUCUUAUAAAGUCAUCAGUCAUUGGAUUUAGGGCCCUCCCUAAAUCCAGGAUUAUGUCAUCUCCAUAUCUUGAACUUAAUCACAUCUGCAAACACCCUGUUUCCAAAUAAGGUCACAUUCACAGCUACGGGGGAGUUAGGAUGUGGACAUAUCUUUUGGAUAAGGGAGUCUCAGUUCAAUCCACAACAUAGGCUGUUGUUGAUGAUUAACUUCAUUCCUGAGGCUGCAUCUUCUAUUCUUGGGCAGCUUUGAAGCAGAAUGUUCUUCACGUUGCAUAGACAUCCUUCCAUAUGCAUAAUUAUUACACAUCUGAAGAAAUGUCAGUAAUUGGAGUGGUUGGGUAGAGAGAUUGAAAUAGCUUGUUUUUAUUUAGAUAUACAUUUUUUUCCAGCUAAAAGUAAAAACCUGCUUUAUCUUUCCUCACAGGAUUAAGUCACAUAGUACAUGUGAAAGAGCUUUGUAAAUUUUGGGCCGCAAAACCAAUAAAGGGAAUCUCAUUGAUGAUGACAUCUUCAUUUGGCAGAUGUGUAUCUGUUUGGUGUAUAAUACCUGAGAAGCCUCUCUUUAAGCCCAGGCUUGGAGCAUCUGCAAAGGAGGAUCAUUAAAAAUAUACAUUUUUUGGAAGAUGAGAUUUGCUAUUUUAAAAAUAUUAUUAAGUAAUAAUUUCUACUUUUAAAAAGUCAUCAUAAAAAUCCAAAUUUGUGAAUUUACUUUUAACUAUUAUUAUUAUUAUUAGUAGUAGUAGUAGUAGUAGUAGUAGUAUUGGAAUGAAGACUUUCCAGCAGGCAUUUUUCCACGUUUUCACCAACCACUUUUCACUGCUUAAGGCUUCGAAGAGCCCUCUCCCAGUCAGGGGGAUGCAAUGAUCAAAGCAGUCUGUUCUUAUGAACAAAUCAAUCAAGAGUCACCCCAGCUUCCCAUCACACAGGGACCAAUAACUUUUUUCCUGUCCAUUCAUUCUUCUUUCACUUCCUUUUAUUUGUCUUUCUCUGCCUUUCCCCCAGUCCUAUUCCCUCAUCAAUUUCUUUCACUCUCUUUCUCCUCUUCUUCCUUCCUCUCCUCUUCUCCCCAUUCCCCUUCUCUGCUCCAAUUUCUGUCCUGUUCUUCUCCCACUUCCCAGCAAACAGGUGUCAGACAUCUGAGUCAAGCACAGAAAAGCAGCUCCUCAAAGUUAUAACAGGUAGGGCUGAUUCAACAUCUCACUUGGAACCUUCAGGGCCUCAGAAAUACUCCCAGAUCCCUCUCCUGACACAUAAAGCACAUUCAUGCUAACACGUGCCUCCUUCUCCACCUCCCAGACCCACCCAGUGACUACUUCCCAGGGGUCUUGAGGUGCCUCCUGCCCUGUGGCUGUACGGAGGGCAGCACUGGAACCUCGGGUUCAGGGCCUGUGUGGGUGGUUCACUUAUGUAAGACAUCAGCUGCCCUGAAAGAGAACUGGUGAGCCCUGAAAGUGGCUGGCAAGGCCAAUCUUCAGGCCUCAGCAGCUCAGCAUUCACAAGUGUUGCACCAGCCAGCCAGGGACACCUGGAAUACGGGAGAGUUGCCCCCUUCACUCUCUUAAGGCCGGUGACCAAAAUUUUCUUAUUGGCCAAGUUUAUUCAAACAUUCUUCUUCCCUUGCAGACAUGUGACUGUAGACAUUUGCUAAAGGUCUUUUAAGUUAAAGGUCUCUUACCACUGGGUGCAGGGUCAAAAUUUGGGUAACAGGAAAUUGGUCUUGGCAGUCAGAAGAAACGUUGCUAUGACUCUUCUAGAUAGUCUGGGACCAGGAGCUCUUUCAGAUGUUAAGGAAAUCCCAGCCUCCCUCAUCUGCACUUCCCCAACACACACACCACUGGAACCUCUGGACCACCAGCUGGAAGUCUAGUUCCAGUAUUACUGUGAACCUCUGGAAGUCUAGUUCCACACUGCUGGAACCUCUGAAUCACCAACUAGAAGUCCAAUUCCAAUAUUACUGUGAACCCACAAGAUAACUCUUCAGAUGUGGGACCUCAUUUCCCCAUUAUAGAGGACAAGCACCAUCCCUUCUUUCUCCUUCCCUUGAAAAUAAGCCCAUAAGAAGACAGCAAGUUACAAGAAGACAAUAGAACCAUGGAUGGUGGAGCACUAGAAGAUGCCUUGGCCACACAGCAUAAGAAUUCUGCGAGGCCGGGCGCGGUGGCUCACGCCUGUAAUCCCAGCACUUUGGGAGGCCGAGG